AAUGAACGCUGGCGGCGCGCCUAAUACAUGCAAGUCGAGCGAGAAGACGUAGCAAUACGUUUGUAAAGCGGCGAACGGGUGAGGAAUACAUGGGUAACCUACCCUAGAGUGGGGAAUAACUAGCCGAAGGUUAGCUAAUACCGCGUACGCUCCUUGGACUUCGGUUCAGGGAGGAAAGCGAUGCCGAGGGUAUCGCGCUCUUGGAUGGGCUCAUGUCCUAUCAGCUUGUUGGNGAGGUAACGGCUCACCAAGGCUUCGACGGGUAGCUGGUCUGAGAGGACGAUCAGCCACACUGGCACUGCGACACGGGCCAGACUCCUACGGGAGGCAGCAGUAAGGAAUAUUGCGCAAUGGGCGAAAGCCUGACGCAGCGACGCCGCGGUGGGGGAGU
rnacentral:rRNA from 1 species